UGCCAGCAGCCGCGGUAAUACGGAGGGUGCAAGCGUUGUUCGGAAUUAUUGGGCGUAAAGCGUGCGUAGGCGGAUUGUUAAGUCUGAUGUGAAAUCCCGCGGCUCAACCGCGGACGUGCAUUGGAUACUGGCAGUCUUGAGUCCCGGAGAGGAGAGCGGAAUUCCUAGUGUAGAGGUGAAAUUCGUAGAUAUUAGGAGGAACACCAGUGGCGAAAGCGGCUCUCUGGACGGUGACUGACGCUGAGGCACGAAAGCAUAGGUAGCAAACAGGAUUAGAUA
rnacentral:rRNA from 1 species